rnacentral:tRNA from 1 species
GGGGGUAUAGCUCAGUGGUAGAGUACUUGCCUAGCUUACACAGGGUCAUGGGUUCAAUCCCCAGUACCUCCA